rnacentral:rRNA from 1 species
CAAUAGCGUAUAUUAAAGUUGUUGCGGUUAAAAAGCUCGUAGUUGGAUCUCGGCAGGCAGGGGGUGGUUCGCUCUUAGCGCUACUGCCCCAUUUGCCUGUGUGAUUGGCGGAGGUUUCGGGGUGCUCUUCGUUGAGUGACCCGGGGCGCCGUCAGGUUUACUUUGAAAAAAUUAGAGUGCUCAAAGCAGGCUUUUCACGCUUGAAUAUUCGUGCAUGGAAUAAUGGAAUAGGAACUCGUUUCUAUUUUGUGGGUUUUCGGAAAUCGAGUUAAUGAUUAAUAGGGACAAUUGGGGGCAUUAGUAUUCAGACGACAGAGGUGAAACUCUUGGACCGUCUGAAGACUAACUACUGCGAAAGCAUUUGCCAAGAGUGUUUUCAUUAA